CACGAUUCCGUUCAUUUUGCCUACUCGCGAUUUUUUUGAUUUCAUACGUGUCAAACACUGUUGAAUUAUACUUAAUAAUACUUUGACACCUUCACAAUGGAUUAUUCAUUAUUGAAAUACUAGAUAUGGAACUAGCUGCAAUGCUGAGAAGACAUCGCGUCUUGGAAAAAAGUCCUUUUUGGGUACGGCUUCUAUUCAAAAGCCUGGGACAGUGUUGUACACAGUUACGUGUAAUAUGAAAUCAUAAGAACAUAGUGGUUUUAAGCCAUUUUAAUGGUUUAAGUUAUAGAGAGAAUUUUUUACUUCGGGCGAAUUACGUCACAAUUUUUUAAGAAAUACAAAUACAUAUGUACAACUAUGAAAUUUUGUAGGCGCAAUAUUUCAACAAGGUUAUUAACGGAAGAAAAAUGUAGGUAAGGUGAAAGUAGUAGAAUCUAGGUUUCUAAUAUUAAUCAUCGUAACUUAUGAUUUGUAGGUCCCUCGAUAUUUGAUAUUAAUUUUCAUUUAUGCAUUGAAAUCAUAUUUACUAUCUGUCAUGUUUUAACGAUGGCUUUAAGUUUGCUUCAAAUAUUAUAAUUAUAUUAACAAUUUAAUAUCAUGUAUCGGCGUUAUAAGCCGUCCAGUAAAAUAUUUAAUAUCUAAUAGUUGAAGAUAUCAUUAUCGAUCGAUGCGUUCUUUAUUUAUCUUAGAAUGAACGAAAUUCGUAUCGAUUAAAUUUUAUAUUGAAAGUAAUAAAAAUGUAUAAAUA